rnacentral:rRNA from 1 species
AGUAAUGUCUGGGAAACUGCCUGAUGGAGGGGGGUAACUACUGGAAACGGUAGCUAAUACCGCAUAACGUCGCAAGACCAAAGUGGGGGACCUUCGGGCCUCAUGCCAUCAGAUGUGCCCAGAUGGGAUUAGCUAGUAGGUGGGGUAACGGCUCACCUAGGCGACGAUCCCUAGCUAGUCUGAGAGGAUGACCAGCCACACUGGAACUGAGACACGGUCCAG